rnacentral:lncRNA from 1 species
GGCCCAAUAUGCAUCGGCAUCCUGCCGAUGAGGCGGCUGCGGGUCCGGCACCUGGUGGUGAGCCUCCACGUGUCUGUUUGGGGCAUGAUCUGCACGGAACAUUGGGUUGAUCAUCUGGCCUCCAAUCUGUGGACCACCGAACUGCUGUCCACCGAUUUGCUGCCCCCCGAGUUGCUGUUCGAGAUUCAUUGGCUGGUUGGGGAUCCCCUGAUUCUGGAACCCGGGAUAGAUCUGUCCUUGCUGGAACCCUGUAGCCUGGUAACUCUGUUGGGGCGUUUGCGGAAAGACUUGCUGUCCAAGCCAUCCGUUAUUAGCGUUCAUCGGCAUAGGCGCUGCCGAUGAUUUGUAGUUGGGU